rnacentral:rRNA from 1 species
GGGUUGUGAGGUUAAGCGACUAAGCGUACACGGUGGAUGCCCUGGCAGUCAGAGGCGAUGAAGGACGUGCUAAUCUGCGAUAAGCGUCGGUAAGGUGAUAUGAACCGUUAUAACCGGCGAUUUCCGAAUGGGGAAACCCAGUGUGUUUCGACACACUAUCAUUAACUGAAUCCAUAGGUUAAUGAGGCGAACCGGGGGAACUGAAACAUCUAAGUACCCCGAGGAAAAGAAAUCAACCGAGAUUCCCCCAGUAGCGGCGAGCGAACGGGGAGCAGCCCAGAGCCUGAAUCAGUGUGUGUGUUAGUGGAAGCGUCUGGAAAGGCGCGCGAUACAGGGUGACAGCCCCGUACACAAAAAUGCACAUGCUGUGAGCUCGAUGAGUAGGGCGGGACACGUGGUAUCCUGUCUGAAUAUGGGGGGACCAUCCUCCAAGGCUAAAUACUCCUGACUGACCGAUAGUGAACCAGUACCGUGAGGGAAAGGCGAAAAGAACCCCGGCGAGGGGAGUGAAAAAGAACCUGAAACCGUGUACGUACAAGCAGUGGGAGCACGCUUAGGCGUGUGACUGCGUACCUUUUGUAUAAUGGGUCAGCGACUUAUAUUCUGUAGCAAGGUUAACCGAAUAGGGGAGCCGAAGGGAAACCGAGUCUUAACUGGGCGUUAAGUUGCAGGGUAUAGACCCGAAACCCGGUGAUCUAGCCAUGGGCAGGUUGAAGGUUGGGUAACACUAACUGGAGGACCGAACCGACUAAUGUUGAAAAAUUAGCGGAUGACUUGUGGCUGGGGGUGAAAGGCCAAUCAAACCGGGAGAUAGCUGGUUCUCCCCGAAAGCUAUUUAGGUAGCGCCUCGUGAAUUCAUCUCCGGGGGUAGAGCACUGUUUCGGCAAGGGGGUCAUCCCGACUUACCAACCCGAUGCAAACUGCGAAUACCGGAGAAUGUUAUCACGGGAGACACACGGCGGGUGCUAACGUCCGUCGUGAAGAGGGAAACAACCCAGACCGCCAGCUAAGGUCCCAAAGUCAUGGUUAAGUGGGAAACGAUGUGGGAAGGCCCAGACAGCCAGGAUGUUGGCUUAGAAGCAGCCAUCAUUUAAAGAAAGCGUAAUAGCUCACUGGUCGAGUCGGCCUGCGCGGAAGAUGUAACGGGGCUAAACCAUGCACCGAAGCUGCGGCAGCGACGCUUAUGCGUUGUUGGGUAGGGGAGCGUUCUGUAAGCCUGCGAAGGUGUGCUGUGAGGCAUGCUGGAGGUAUCAGAAGUGCGAAUGCUGACAUAAGUAACGAUAAAGCGGGUGAAAAGCCCGCUCGCCGGAAGACCAAGGGUUCCUGUCCAACGUUAAUCGGGGCAGGGUGAGUCGACCCCUAAGGCGAGGCCGAAAGGCGUAGUCGAUGGGAAACAGGUUAAUAUUCCUGUACUUGGUGUUACUGCGAAGGGGGGACGGAGAAGGCUAUGUUGGCCGGGCGACGGUUGUCCCGGUUUAAGCGUGUAGGCUGGUUUUCCAGGCAAAUCCGGAAAAUCAAGGCUGAGGCGUGAUGACGAGGCACUACGGUGCUGAAGCAACAAAUGCCCUGCUUCCAGGAAAAGCCUCUAAGCAUCAGGUAACAUCAAAUCGUACCCCAAACCGACACAGGUGGUCAGGUAGAGAAUACCAAGGCGCUUGAGAGAACUCGGGUGAAGGAACUAGGCAAAAUGGUGCCGUAACUUCGGGAGAAGGCACGCUGAUAUGUAGGUGAAGCGACUUGCUCGUGGAGCUGAAAUCAGUCGAAGAUACCAGCUGGCUGCAACUGUUUAUUAAAAACACAGCACUGUGCAAACACGAAAGUGGACGUAUACGGUGUGACGCCUGCCCGGUGCCGGAAGGUUAAUUGAUGGGGUCAGCGCAAGCGAAGCUCUUGAUCGAAGCCCCGGUAAACGGCGGCCGUAACUAUAACGGUCCUAAGGUAGCGAAAUUCCUUGUCGGGUAAGUUCCGACCUGCACGAAUGGCGUAAUGAUGGCCAGGCUGUCUCCACCCGAGACUCAGUGAAAUUGAACUCGCUGUGAAGAUGCAGUGUACCCGCGGCAAGACGGAAAGACCCCGUGAACCUUUACUAUAGCUUGACACUGAACAUUGAGCCUUGAUGUGUAGGAUAGGUGGGAGGCUUUGAAG